rnacentral:rRNA from 1 species
GCGAGCUUGGGGCGAGCAGCGUGGGUAGUAAGAAGGUGGUAAGCGUUACUCGGAAUUACUGGGCGUAAAGCGUGCGUAGGUGUUGUGUUAAGUCGGAUGUGGAAGCCCUGGGAUCAACCUGGGAAUGGCAUGGGAUACUGGCAGGCUAGAGUGCGGUAGAGGGUAGUGGAAUUCCCGGUGUAGCAGUGAAAUGCGUAGAGAUCGGGAGGAACAUCUGUGGCGAAGGCGACUACCUGGACCAGCACUGACACUGAGGCACGAAAGCGUGGGGAGCAAACAGGAUUAGAUACCCCAUUAGUC